rnacentral:rRNA from 1 species
ACCGGCGCACGGGUGAGUAACGCGUAUCCAACCUGCCCAUCACUUGGGGAUAACCUUGCGAAAGUAAGACUAAUACCCAAUGGUGAUGGAUGGGGAUGCGUCUGAUUAGCUUGUUGGCGGGGUAACGGCCCACCAAGGCGACGAUCAGUAGGGGCUCUGAGAGGAAGGUCCCCCACAUUGGAACUGAGACACGGUCCAAACUCCUACGGGAGGCAGCAGUGAGGAAUAUUGGUCAAUGGGCGAGAGCCUGAACCAGCCAAGUAGCGUGCAGGAUGACGGCCUAUGGGUUGUAAACUGCUUUUAUAAGGGAAUAUGUACCUUAUGAAUAAGGACCGGCUAAUUCCGUGCCAGCAGCCGCGGUAAUACGGAAGGUCCGGGCGUUAUCCGGAUUUAUUGGGUUUAAAGGGAGCGUAGGCCGGAGAUUAAGCGUGUUGUGAAAUGUAGAUGCUCAACAUCUGCACUGCAGCGCGAACUGGUUUCCUUGAGUACGCACAAAGUGGGCGGAAUUCGUGGUGUAGCGGUGAAAUGCUUAGAUAUCACGAAGAACUCCGAUUGCGAAGGCAGCUCACUGGAGCGCGACUGACGCUGAAGCUCGAAAGUGCGGGUAU